CAGCAAGAGGAGCUUUCCCGGCUUACUCGGCUGGGAAGGCCGAGUUUCUGGAGCCGUAGAAGAGGAUUCUCAAAGAUAAUGAGGACAGGUAACCAAAUGUAUAUUGGAGAUAACUGACAAAAGCGACUAGAUAGCCUCUGAAGCUCUGGUUGUAAGGCCCCGCCCCCUUUUCUGUUUCCUGAGCCACCUGCCCUUGCAGGUCUAGUGACUGAGUGUACUCAGCCUUCUCUUACUUUUCAUAAAGUGACCUUAGAACCUAGAAAAGCCGAGCUUCUCACGCGGGGCCGUGUUAAAGUGCACGUUCUGCUGCUGAAGUAGGAUCGGAUAGUCUGCGUUUCUAAAACAUGCUCGGAUAACCCCAGUGCCGCAGUUCCACAAUUAGAGCAACAAACACUAUUUAUCUUACAUGCUUAAUGAAAGAAGUAAAUUGUUCCGAAAAUAUAGACGUCACUGGGCACAGCCUCUGUCUCCCUGCUAUCCAUUCAAGUAGCCCGUCCAUAGUCCCACCACCCUAAUAACCCUAACCCUGCCUCCCCUGUCUCUGCUCUGUUCAAGUUAAAGUGUCUUAAGAUGGGUAAUAGGAUAGACUAUUACAAGAAGAAUUGGAGGAGGGAUGGGAGAAGAAUUAUGGGGGGAGGGGCGCGCGUACGCUGCCCUGGUGUGUUUACAUGUUUGUGUGGGUGCAACUGUAUGUACACAUGCCAGAAAAAGCCAAGGCCAGAGGUUAGCCUUAGGUGUUGUUCCUCGGGAGCUGAACCUCUUGUUUUUUUGAGAUAAGGUCUCCAAAAACCUGGUGCUUUGCCUUUCUCCAUCUCU
rnacentral:lncRNA from 1 species